AAGAGUCAAGUAGAAAAUAAAAUCUACUAUCUUUUAUGAUUUAAAAGGUUUUUCAUCACUUUUAUCGCUGGGACUCGGCUUAAUAAAUAAUCCACAUCAUCCCUGCACUACGGCCAAGGAUAUUCAUUAGUAUCACAACCACAAAUUAUCCAUGCACUACGGGCCAAGGAUAUUCGUGUAUUCAUCAAUGGUCAUGAUCAUGCCAACAACUG
rnacentral:lncRNA from 1 species